rfam:Brassica napus, WGS project CCCW01000000 data, contig: 5262
GGUGCUGUGGUGUAGUGGUUAUCACGUCUGCCUUACACGCAAAAAGGUCUCCAGUUCGAUCCUGGGCAGCACCA